GACGUAGGGCGCGAGCGUUGUCCGGAUUUAUUGGGCGUAAAGAGCUCGUAGGCGGCUCGUUGCGUCGGCUGUGAAAACCCGCAGCUCAACUGUGGGCUUGCAGCUGAUACGGGCGGGCUGGAGUUCGGUAGGGGAGACUGGAAUUCCUGGUGUAGCGGUGAAAUGCGCAGAUAUCAGGAGGAACACCGGUGGCGAAGGCGGCUAUCUGGUCCAAUUCUGACGCUGAGGCGCGAAAGGUAGGGGAGCAAACAGG
rnacentral:rRNA from 1 species